AUCGAUUCUGGGCCUUUUGGCUAAGAUCAAAGUGUAAUAUCUGUUCCUAUCAGCUUAAUAUCUGAUACGAUCCCCAUGUGGGAUCUACGAUAUUAAACUGAUUUUUGGGAAACGGCGGAGUGCUCGGGGCUUGCUCCACCUUUGCCGCGGAUCGGCCCGGUAGUGCAAUACCUCCGGGUCCCGAGUUCAAUUCCC